rnacentral:rRNA from 1 species
GUUUGAUCCUGGCUCAGGAUGAACGCUGGCGGCGUGCUUAACACAUGCAAGUCGAACGGAAAGGCCCUGCUUGCAGGGUACUCGAGUGGCGAACGGGUGAGUAACACGUGGGUGAUCUGCCUUGUACUCUGGGAUAAGCUUGGGAAACUGGGUCUAAUACCGGAUAGGACGAUGGUUUGGAUGCCAUUGUGGAAAGUUUUUCGGUGUGGGAUGAGCUCGCGGCCUAUCAGCUUGUUGGUGGGGUAAUGGCCUACCAAGGCGUCGACGGGUAGCCGGCCUGAGAGGGUGUACGGCCACAUUGGGACUGAGAUACGG